CUGAAAUGCUAGUCAGUGGUUUGGUUACUAUUAGGCAGGGCCUUGUGAAAUGCUUUGACCAACAGAAUGUGGUGGAAGUGAUAUUGUGAGACUUCUGAGACAAAGCUUCAGGAAGUCGUGCAGCUUUUUCUCUUCCCCUUUUCCUGCCCUGAGACCACCAUGACUGAAGGCUAAGAGCAGCUUACUUGAGGAUUAAAGAUCUCUUGGAGAGAGAAGUCCAGUGAGUAACAAUGGCCAGGUAUUUCAGGGAGACCAUCUUGGACCAUCCAGCCUCCACCAAGCCAACAGCUGACAGCUGCCACAUGAAUAUGAUCAGCAGAAGACCCACUCAGGCAAGCCAAGCCCAAAUUGCCAACCCCCGCAAAUAAUGAGCUAAUUAUUUUUUGUUUUAAGCCAUAAACUUUUGAAGUGGUUAUAUAGCAAUAGAUAACUGAAACAGGUGUUUAACUUUCCAGACUUUUAAAAUGACCAUAUUGAUAUAAUUGUAUUGUUCAACCUGUUUUGUAAAGUGAUUUCUCUGAAUAGUAUCUUGAAAAGAUUCCUUAUCCUUAACUAUUUUCUACAACUUUGCAUUUGUUUUAGUAUUAUAUUACAUGGAUAGUUGGUAAUUUGACUACUAACUUCCCUUUGAAAUUUCUUUUCCUUGCUGUCUAGCUCCCAUGUCUUGACCAACUUUACAUUCCCCUCCAGGACCUUAUGGGCACACGGGUUCCUGUCAUUUCACGGGAUAUAGUCGGCUGACUGAUGACCCUGCAAAAAGAUAUGUCCAUGUCCUAAUCUCUGGAAACUGUGAAUGUUACUUAAUUUGGAAAGGGGGUCUUUGCAGAUGAAAUUAAGAAUUUUGAGAUGAGUAGUUCAUCCUGGAUUGUCUGCGUGGGUCCUAAAUCCAGUGACAAGCAUCCUUAAAAGAGACACAAGGAGAUUGGCAGACAGAAGAAGAGGAGGCAGCAAUGUGACCCUGGAGGUGGAUCCACAGGUCAAGGAAUGGCUACAGCCAUCAGAGAAAGAGGCAAAGUGAGGAUUCUCCCCUCGAAUCUCUAGGAGUGGUCCAGCCCUGCUGAUGUCUAGAUUUUUGGAGUUUUGGCCUCCAGAAUGUGACAGAGUAAACUAUUGUUUAAAGCCACCAAGUUUGCGGUGACUUGUUAGAGCAGCCACAGGAAUGAAUGUACGGGGAAUCGGGCAGUCUCAUAUACUGCUGGUGGGAAAACAAACUGGCACAACCCUUAUGGUGGGAAAUUUGACAACAUGUACAUAAACUACCUACAUGUUUCCCUUGUGGCCCAGCCAUUCCACUUUUAGGAAUCUGCCCUGAAGAUACAACUCCACCUAUUAAAAAAUACAGCCAUUAGAAUGGAUGAUGUUUACCACUUGUUGACAAAGAAAAAUGUUCACUUGUGUUAAAUGAGAAAGAUAGGUUUCAGAACAGCAACAAUGUUCUAGCUGAUUCUGUUUUUAAAACUCAGUGUAUGUAGAGAAGGACAGUAAAGGGAUUUAUCAUGAAAUGCAAAAAGGGGGCAACUGUUAUUUUAGAUUUCUUUAUUAAAAUUUUUAAUUGACAAUUGUAUAUAUUUGUACAGUAAUUGUACGUAUUGUAUGUACAAUUGUAUAUUGAUGUAUAUAUUUGUACAAUAAUUGUAUAUAUAUUUAUAUGGUACAAUGUGGUAUUUCUAUGCAUGAACACAUGAUGGAAUGAUCAAA